ensembl:lncRNA
GUCACUAUUUCCAGAAAUCUCUGAUCCUCUCUUGACAAUCCAACCUGUUCAUCAACUUUGCUCUCAGGAAAGUCAAUUUUGAACUGUUGCUGCCAAAGCUCCUCCAGCGUGACAACAGAAAUUCUGUUGACUGUAACUUGUGGAUGCUUCUGAUCGCCUGUAGCUUCACAGUUUCCUGAAAGUGGCCCAUUGAUGGUCCAGCCAAGCCUUGUCCUUACGGCAUACGGUCCUCCAUCAACACUACACACCACUUCCAGAGGUUCCAAGGCUUUGGGAAUGUUUGUUCCGAUCAGAAGUUCGAUUCCUGCAUUUAUUUGAGGCAAGUUUAUGUGUUUUAAAUGUGGCCAUCCUUCAAUAUCUCCUGGUGUUGUAAUAUUUCCUUUAUGUACAGGCAUGGACUCCUGUGUGUACACUUUUGGCAGCUCCAGAAAUUCGUCCCCACAAAGAGCGGCAACCUCCAGUCCUGAUAAAGUGUUGCUGCUCACAACUCUUUCUUGGCCCAUGGUUCUCAGGAGGAUGUUUCCUUUCCUUCCCUCAAGGUACAAUGGGCAGUUUGCAGUCCUGGUCUCCAGCCCCUGAUGGUGGGAUGUUUCCGGCUACAUUUGGAACAGGAAAUCCUCUUACGGC